rnacentral:rRNA from 1 species
AAGAGCUGCAAGCCAGCGAUGGUAAGCUAAUCCCAUAAAGCCAAUCUCAGUUUGGAUUGUAGGCUGCAACUCGCCUAACAUGAAGUAGGAAUCGCUAGUAAUCGCAGAUCAGCAUGCUGCGGUGAAUACGUUCCCGGGUCUUGUACACACCGCCCGUCACACCACGAGAGUUUGCAACACCCGAAGUCGGUGGGGUAACCGUAAGGACCCUGCCGCCGAAGGUGGGGCAGAUGAUUGGGGUGAAGUCGUAACGGGGUAUCCGUACCGGAAGGUGCG